rnacentral:rRNA from 1 species
AUUCCAGCUCCAGAAGCGUAUGCUAAAGUUGUUGCAGUUAAAAAGCUCGUAGUUGAAUUUCUGGUAGGGUUGACCUGGCGUUUGGAUGAAUGUCCAUUUAGCCGUGCGUCGGCCCAGCCAUCCUCCCCUUUUUCGGAAGGGGUCGUUCACUGUAAUCAAAUCAGAGUGUUCAAAGCAGGUCGUAGACCGGAAUGUUUAUUAUGGGAUGAUAAGAUAGGACUUGGGUGCUAUUUAGUUGGUUUGCACACUUGAGUAAUGAUUAAAAGGAACAGGUGGAGAUAUUCGUAUUUAGGAGCUAGAGGUGAAAUUCUUGGAUUUCCGAAAGACGAACUACUGCGAAGGCAUUUAUCAAAAAUGUUUUCAUUA